rnacentral:rRNA from 1 species
UACGUAGGAUCCGAGCGUUGUCCGGAAUUACUGGGUGUAAAGGGUGCGCAGGCGGAUUUGUACGUCAGAGGUUAAAUGUCACCGCUUAACGGUGAACCUGCCUUUGAUACGGCAAGUCUUGAGUGUGAGAGAGGUAAGUAGAAUUCCUGGUGUAGCGGUGAAAUGCGUAGAUAUCAGGAGGAAUACCAGUGGCGAAGGCGGCUUACUGGCUCACAACUGACGCUUAGGCACGAAAGCGCGGGGAGCAAACAGGAUUAGAUACCCUGGUAGUCCGCGCCCUAAACGAUGUAUGCUUGGUGUUGGGAGUUUAACUCUCAGUGCCGUAGGUAACCCGUUAAGCAUACCACCUGGGGAGUACGAUCGCAAGGUUGAA